rnacentral:lncRNA from 1 species
CCCAUUGUAAGACUAUUUAAGGGUUAUGAGUGAAUUAGAAAGGGAGAAAUCAGAAUUAGAGAAUUGAAGAAGUUAGCAGAGCAGAAGAAAAGAAGCGUGAAAGAGAGAAGGGGAGAAUAAAGAAGAAAAACCUAGAAUUUGAUCUUCAAGAGGUAAGAAUUUGGAUUCAUGUUCUAUGGAUUAGUAUGAUAGUGGGUAAUGACAGGAAGCAUGAUUUAAGAACCCUAGAACCUUGCUUGAAAAACAUGUUUUGGGUUUUAUUUUGGAGAUUAGAUAUGUUUAAUCACCAGAUGUUUUUCUCGUCGUUCUUUAUGGGUUGAAUUGCAAACUUUUGAUUUAUAUAUAUAUUAUUCACAACACUAGCUAUGAGUAUUGAUUGUGAACAAGGGGUUGAAUGCGUAGAGGUUCCUUGUUAUGCAUGACGAACAAGGGGUCAUGAGUAUUGAUUGUCAAAAAAUUUCCUCUGUUCUUGCCGUUGUUUCCUCUGCCUGAUGCACCAUUAAUUCGACCCAAAUCCAUUAAGAUGAAACCAUGUUAAGUGCGUGUCUCUCGUAACAUGCUUUAAUACUCUAGAUAAUUGUACACUUGAAGACAAAACAAUUUUUAAUUUAACGAAAUUAAAUACCCUUUAUAGAUGCACAUAUCAAAUCUUUGGAGAGAAAGUUAGACAAGAUCUUAGCCAAAUGGUGGCAUCACCCAAUGAAGGUAGUGGCCUGUAGCAUCAACAGUGGUGAUGGAAUGAAAGGAUUCAAAAGUGAGGAUGAUAAAAACAUGAUUAAUCGUUAGGUUAAUUUUGGGAUUUAAUUUGGGUUUGGGUUAGGUUAGUUAGUGAAUUAUACGUAGGAAAGGAUUAGUGUAGGAGAGUUUGAGGUGCGCGUGCCCAUGGCGAGUUGCGCAGGGAGAUGUCGCGAGAUGGCGAGCAUGAGCAUGUCGCGAGUUUUUGAAAAAUUGGGAGAAAAUCCAGUUUUGUAUAAUUAAUUUCAGAACCUGUUAAAUGUGAAUUAUAUUUGAUUUAUAUAUGUUUAAUAGUUUAUUAUUUUGGUGUUAUUUUUCUGAAUUGAUGUUAUGUGUUGAGUUGCUAAGUUACUGUGACUGCAAGUUGUAUAAUUGAUUACAUGUAAUAUGUGUUUUGUGCAACUGGUGAUGAAUAUGCUAAAAUAAUUAGGACUUUGAGAUGGUCUGAAUAUGCAUAUGUUAGUUGAGUUGUGCACAAUACACUGCAUAGUUGUCAAGAGGCAAUGUUUGCUUGUUCGCGUGGAGACUAGUGACUUGUCACAAAACUGGAGUGGUUUUGAAGCCUAGAGCGAGGGCUUUAUUGGUGGUUAUAUGUCUGGAGUGGACGCGGUGAUACCGCUAAGGAUAACAACUUUGGUACCAAAGGCAUUUGCACGGGUCUCACUUGAGUCAUAUGUGUUAGGGAGUUGUUGAUGCUAAUUAAUGAUAAUUGUGAUAUUUUUUUGAGAUUGAUGUUGUGGUAAUUGGAGACAAUAAUAUUUGCUUACUUGAUGCUAUGAAUUAUGGAGUAUUGUCAUAACUGUGAGAUUGAUUGAUUAUAUUAAAUUACAUAAUUUAUUAUUUGUUAGUGAAGUGUGAAGAAUUUAUGUGGAACAUAGAUAAGCUUUUACAUUAUUUAUUAUUAUGCUUAUCCAUAUGAUAUGAGUUCUCACCCUUCUGUUGGAAUGAUGUUCUAUGCAACAUCGCUCAGGUACAGAGGAUAGUGGAGCUUCUCACGAGGGUUAGUUAGAGGAGCUAGUCUUUCAGAUAUGCUUUUAGUGAUGGGAGUCAUGUUAUAUUAUGUAACACUGGGGAACCGCUUAGUUUGUACCUUGAUGUUAAGAGUUAUUUUGUGAACUCUCUUCAUUUAUUUUUGGAUUAUGUUUUAUUUUGAAGCUGAAAUAAAUCCGUUGUGCUAUGCAUAUGAUGUUAUGACAUUAAAGUUGGAAAUUUAUAUAUUUAUUAUGAGCAUG